rnacentral:rRNA from 1 species
UACGUAGGGGGCAAGCGUUGUCCGGAUUUACUGGGCGUAAAGAGCGCGUAGGCGGAAGUUUAAGCGUGGCCUGAAAGCCCCCGGCUCAACCGGGGAGUGCGGCUGCGAACUGGAUUUCUUGAGGACGAUAGAGGAGAGUGGAAUUCCUGGUGUAGCGGUGAAAUGCGUAGAUAUCAGGAGGAACACCCGAGGCGAAGGCGGCUCUCUGGGUCGUACCUGACGCUGAGGAGCGAAAGCGUGGGGAGCGAACAGG